CAAGUCGAACGAACCCUUCGGGGUUAGUGGCGGACGGGUGAGUAACACGUGGGAACGUGCCCUUUGGUACGGAAUAACUCAGGGAAACUUGAGCUAAUACCGUAUGUGCCCUUCGGGGGAAAGAUUUAUCGCCAUUGGAGCGGCCCGCGUCUGAUUAGCUAGUUGGUGAGGUAAUGGCUCACCAAGGCGACGAUCAGUAGCUGGUCUGAGAGGAUGACCAGUCACAUUGGGACUGAGACACGGCCCAAACUCCUACGGGAGGCAGCAGUGGGGAAUCUUGCGCAAUGGGCGAAAGCCUGACGCAGCCAUGCCGCGUGGAUGAUGAAGGUCUUAGGAUUGUAAAAUCCUUUCACCGGGGACGAUAAUGACGGUACCCGGAGAAGAAGCCCCGGCUAACUUCGUGCCAGCAGCCGCGGUAAUACGAAGGGGGCUAGCGUUGCUCGGAAUUACUGGGCGUAAAGGGCGCGUAGGCGGACAUUUAAGUCGGGGGUGAAAUCCCAGGGCUCAACCCUGGAACUGCCUUCGAUACUGGAUGUCUUGAGUGCGGGAGAGGUGUGUGGAACUCCGAGUGUAGAGGUGAAAUUCGUAGAUAUUCGGAAGAACACCAGUGGCGAAGGCGACACACUGGCCCGUUACUGACGCUGAGGCGCGAAAGCGUGGGGAGCAAACAGGAUUAGAUACCCUGGUAGUCCACGCCGUAAACGAUGAUUGCUAGUUGUCGGAGUGCAUGCACUUCGGUGACGCAGCUAACGCAUUAAGCAAUCCGCCUGGGAGUACGGUCGCAAGAUUAAAACUCAAAGGAAUUGACGG
rnacentral:rRNA from 1 species